rnacentral:rRNA from 1 species
AUUGAACGCUGGCGGCAGGCCUAACACAUGCAAGUCGAACGAGUGGCGGACGGGUGAGUAAUGUCUGGGAAACUGCCUGAUGGAGGGGGAUAACUACUGGAAACGGUAGCUAAUACCGCAUACCAUCGGAUGUGCCCAGAUGGGAUUAGCUAGUAGGUGGGGUAAAGGCUCACCUAGGCGACGAUCCCUAGCUGGUCUGAGAGGAUGACCGGCCAAACGGGAACGGGGAAAGGGUCCAGAUUCCUACGGGAGGAAGAAGUGGGGAAUAUGGCAAAAUGGGGGCAAGCCUGAGGCAGACAUGCCGCGUGGAUGAAGAAGGCCUUCGGGUGGUAAAGUACUUUCAGCGGGGAGGCGUUACCCGCAGAAGAAGCACCGGCUAACUCCGUGCCAGCAGCAGCGGUAAUAC